rnacentral:pre_miRNA from 1 species
UACUUACUCCCUCUGUUCAGAAUUACUUGUCAUAAAAAUGGAUGUAUCUACAAAUAAAAUACAUCUAGAUACAUUCAUUUCUUGGACGAGUAAUUUCGAACGGAGGGAGUAUAUU